AAUCAAAAAAAGAUUUAUCCAAAAAAGAAGAAAGAAAGAAAGAAAAAACAAUCACCAUGAUGAUUUCACGACGAUCCAUCUUGG
rnacentral:ribozyme from 12 species